GAAUGUUGACCUCGAAUCAGGUAGGAAUACCCGCUGAACUUAAGCAUAUCAAUAGGCGAGAAGAAGG
rnacentral:rRNA from 1 species